ensembl:lncRNA
CGCGGGACCUCGAUGAACCUCGGGCCGGGAAGCUGCGUUUCGCCCGCGGGCGCGGUGGCAGCCGAGGCGGCCCAUAUGUUCCUCUCGUUGGAGAGGAGCGGAGGAGAGGGGUUGAGAUAAUGAUUCAUGGAAACGUGGGCGACGCAACACGACAACGACAACGACGACAACAACAACAACAACAACAUCUGGUGGUGCGCCGGUUCCUCACGUGCAUCCGGUGGCUCAGCGGGGUCCCGUAGGGCAAAGCGUCGGGCCGCUGCCAGCUCUGUGGUGCCGGUGCCUAAGAUUUCAUUUGGGAGCGAACACCAUUAUGCCGCCGCCGGAGAGCGACGGGGGAAGAGCACCAUUUCACCCGUUAUGAAUAACACCGCCUCGACUUGUUGAAUCCUCC